GGCACUUUGGCGGAGUGGUCAACGCGACAGCCGUAAGUUCCUUCAUAAAGUAAAUCCAUAUAAUCCUGUCUAACAUGUUGUGCAGUGCUAAGCUGUUUCCUUCGGGAGCGUGAGUUCGAAUCUCACAGGUGUCG